rnacentral:rRNA from 1 species
UUAAAAAGCUCGUAGUUGAAUUUCGGGACCAUCAUGUCGGUCGUGCCUCGGUACGUACUGGCAUUGUUGGUUUCUCCCUUCUGACGAACCAUGAUGUCAUUUAUUUGGUGUUGUGGGGAAUCAGGACUGUUACUUUGAAAAAAUUAGAGUGUUUAAAGCAGGCUCACGCUUGAAUACAUUAGCAUGGAAUAAUGAAAUAGGACGUUUGAUUCUAUUUUGUUGGUUUCUAGGAUCGACGUAAUGAUUAAUAGGGAUAGUUGGGGG